rnacentral:rRNA from 1 species
UACGUAGGGGGCAAGGCGUUGUCCGGAUUUAUCUGGGCGUAAAGGAGCGAUGUAGGCGGCCAAGCAGGUCUGUUGUGAAACUAGGUGAGGCUCAACCUCCAGACGUCGACAGAAACCGCUUGGCUAGAGUCCGGAAGAGGAGAGUGGAAUUCCUGGUGUAGCGGUGAAAUGCGUAGAUAUCGGGAGGAAUACCGAUGGCGAAGGCAGGUCUCUGGCUGGACACUGACGCUCAUGCACGAAAGCGUGGGGAGCAAACAGG